ensembl:lncRNA
UGCAGAAUGGAAAAGUGAGAGGGCUGAGGAAGGAGGAAGGAUUCUCCAUCACAGACCAGGCCCCACAGAGAGAAAUCAUGCUGCAAAAAGCUGUCAGUGCUCUGAGAAUGGAGCUUCAUCCACUGGAAACAGGGGGGUGUAAAGAACGUCAUUCGUUGUCAUUGCAGCUUACAGGGAACCCUGGAAGAGUAACUGAGGGUACAAAUAUUUGAUCUUCACCACCGGUUCAGGGAACCAUCUCCUUUCCCCGUGUUAAAUCUCUACAGUGCCCACUGCUUACAGGAGACUGACGAAUGCAACUACUGUAAUAAAUAUUCAUUAAAAGUAUCUUUCAAGAAAAAAACCUGUACAAAGAUGGAACUGUCUCUGAAUAGGAGAGACUUUGUCAGCAAGCACACGACUCAGUGUUAAUCCAUUUUGUUCGCUCCUGAUCCCUGCAGCAGCUGAAAGCCUGGAACCAGGAGAAAGCCAAUGCUCUCUGCAGCCCUCCAAAUCAAAUAGCUGUCCUCAAACACUCCAGGAUUUCAUAAGGAGUGAUGAUGCAUCGCUGAAUGCGGUGGAUUUGAGUCCAAGUCUGUUAAAAAUUGAGCAGGGAGUAGGUAUUGCAGCAAGAGUUUCUACACAAUCAGCAAUCAGAUGAAAGAAAAAUCUGUUACAGAAGGCCUCUAUUCUACUGCUAGUGAGGCCAACAGACCAACGUGUCUGGAGAGAAAGAGCUUCUCUACAGCAUCUUCCCAGCUCAGGAGCUUUUCAGGGAAAGUAUGGGGACACAGGGACUAACUUAAGCCUGCUUCUGAGUUCCAUGGGGCUCUCAGACAGCCAAGGACAAAAAGUUUAUGUGGUGGGGCUGCAGCAAUUCCAUCUCCUAAAGGAGGAAAUCCAGGUGCUCUUCAGUGUUUUUGACCCAUGUAAGCAUGAGCAGCUCCUGGGAUAUCCAUGUGCCCCACUGAGGCAUGGGGCAGCAGCCACAAAGCAGCAAGACUGGCCACUUACAGAGCUAUUGCAAGGAAUCCAAACAGGUUUGGCUUUUUUUCUUCUCUCCCGUGAACCAGCCAACACCCAAACAACUGAAGGGACAGAGGCAGCUCCAGGUUGCCAUGCUGCUGCUUGUAAAAGACUGUUUGGGAAAAUGGACUUUUCUCUUGUGUGAUUUUCUCCCUACUGCAAUUUAAAAGGGAAGCGAAUGAGGACUUUUCAUACUUUUAUUCUGUCUUAAGAAGCACCUCCAUAAAAAGACAAGUUCCCAGGCAAAAAGCAACAAGUUUCUGACAUGCUUGUUCUCUGCCAUAAAAAUAGGAGAGUAAUAGAAUAUGGUUAUUGGCUUCUUCAGGAUCCUCUAUACCUUUUAUUUCUACAGUCAAAGAGGUAACAAUAGGACUACUGGAGAAAGAAGAGUCUCCCCGUGUCAGAGAAAAAGGAAACAAUUAAGUUUGAGCUCCCUUAAGAAAGGACAAUGGAUCCUGUAUUGUUGACUGUGGAAUCUGGGGUUUUGACAGCGCUGUAGAAACUCACAAAGUAAGCCAAAUGAUGAGUAACCUUCCUCAGGGAUGUGUAUGAAACCCUCGGUUACAGCUCAGCAGGAAUAAAACUCCUUUGGAAAUCUCUUCUCGAGUAAGAUGGCACAAACAUGGCUGCUGUUUGUGGAGUUCUGGCAAACUGUAGGGACUGGGCACAUAGCCUCAAAGAAGGUGGUCUACACAAGGAUCCUGCCGACUUCUCACUCCUUGUUACAGCUGAAGAGCAGGACUGGUCAAAGCUAGCUGUAUGGACAGUCUGAAGAAAUGACAUUGCGGCCCCUGCUCUGCCUCUCCCUGCCCUUGAGGAGCGUGUAGUGCUCCUUCUCCAGCACAGGCAUGGUUGUGCGGAGUUCACUUUCCUGAGGAAACCCAUGUUGGUUUCCUUGAGAAACAGAAAUAUCAUGGCCACAUUAUUAGAACAAAGGGUUUGCAUGUACUAAAAAUAACAGCCAUCAGUGCUUACUAAUAAGGCUAGGGGGUAGAACUGGCAGGGAUGAAAUCUCAACAAAACUUCCCUCCCUCCUCUCUGGGCUCCUGUCCUCCUGGCACUGUCCAGAUCACGACUCUUGGCUGUAUCCCAGGUUUCUCCUGGAUGCACUCACUCAAUCUCCUCCCCUUAUUUUCCCCAGAGCAUUUGGAAGACAAAGCCCCACAAUGGGGUUUAUGAAAGAGUUUCGAUGUCUGUCCUGAGUGCUAGUUUCAAGGGGGAGACAAAAAAACAAAACAAAACAACAACAAAAAAACCCCAACAGCAACGACAACAAAAAAAACCCAACCCCUUAAUUGCAAUUAGUUCUGCCUUUCACUUUUGAUGACCUAGCCCUGAUACCUGAUACUUUUUCAACAGCGCAGUGUUGGCUGUUACCAGUUCUGGCCAGGUCUCUCAGCACAUACAUCAGUGCAGUGUUUCUUGGGAAGAUUUUGUUUUCUUUUUGCCAUUUGUCAGGAGGUGUGGAUGUACUCCCCAGCCUUCUGUUGGCUGAGUGCUGAGAACGCAUAGUAUGAAGUACAUUUAUGUGCUUGUAUUAUCUUAAUGUAACCUAAAAAAGCACAACAGUAGAAUGAGAUUUCUGAGUUUUAAGACAGGGUAUCCUGUCUGUGUUGUAAGGAGAAUGUAUUCCCUGGGAAUCUGUAGCAGUCUGCUAUGCUCAGUAAAGUAUCUUCAAGCUUUCCUCUGUGAAACGAGCCUGUAUUCUUUGGAGAAGAAUGGGGAAGGAAAGUCUCAAAUAAAUGGAUGUAAUUGCCUUCAUUAAAAGCUGACUGAACAGACUUUAUCCUGUGGGGUCUACUCUCUCUCUCUGAGUCUGGCCCUCUGAACUGAGAUGCAAGGAGAGAUAUCAACAUCAUGUCUUCAGAGGAUGAAUAACUUCCCAAGAAGCUUACACUACAUUAAGACCCAUCUUCACAAUGAACAUUCCUAGGAGAAGAGAGUGCAGGUGGCUGGGCCUUACGAGGGAGCCUUUGAGAAGUUAUUUUGGUGAAAAGCUGGCUGCCACCCACUGUGCUUCUCUGCCAGCCGCCGUGCUCCUUCACUCUCACCACACCUCUCUCAUCCUCAAGAUGUUUGAAGAGCUUGUAUUCAAGGUGUGGAACAUCUGUGUGAUCCAGCCUGUAAAAUACCAUAGUGGAAGAAACUGCAUCUCUGGAGUGAAAGGAAGGAAGAAAAUAAGACUGAAGGCAAUAGAGUUACACUGAAGAUGGCUUUGGCCCAAGGGUUUAUGCAAAACAGAUUUGUGAUGUUGCAAAUUUGUAUUUUUCCUUUCUGUUUCAAAAUGGGAAAGAGCAGAAACAGUUGAUACUGUCAUGAAAUUUCAAGACUGAAACACAAAGUAUUGGAAACUUGAGUGUCCUUAAUAGUGCUAAUCCAAGCCUGCUGGACCUGUGGACCAUUUUUGCAAUCAAAUGCUUAAGAAAUGCAGUGCAGUGAACUGAAUACUAUAAUUCUAACAGGAAAUUUCUCACUAAAAUCAGUGAGAAUUUUGUCUAUGUGAGGCUUACAAGAUUGGUUAGUACUUGAAGAACAACUUUUCUUCUUCCAUAAAGAUCCUCGCUGAUGGGUUCCUAUACUUCACCAGCUUCUCUUCUUUUCCUCUGUCAGAUUACAACAGAGGAUGGCAUGCUCUGAGUGCAGCUCCAAUACGUGGCACGUGGCUGUAUCUUUUGUUCUUAAAUUACAUGACUCUUGAGACAAGAAAACCUGCCAGAAAUCAGCCUUUGGAUGAGGAAGGCCAGGUCCCAGCUGAACCAAGCAGCACAAGUAGGAACUAUACCAAAGAAGUGGGCUCACCCAGAGCAUUCAUUGAAGUGGUGCAGAGCAUUGGGCACAUGCUGGAUCUUCCACAAAGCUUGGAGAGCUGGGCAGCCUCCAUUCCUAUCAACAUCUUCCUCACCUUUCCUCCUGUGAAGAGACAAGGAACCACCAACACAACUGCAGAACCCCAUGGACUCCCGUAUCUGCACAAGGAGGAGACUGUGUGACCCUGAUCUUGGCCAGCAUAGCACAAGGCUCCCCAGCAGUCACCUGCUUGAACCUAACACAUCACGGUCAGCUUCUAGUGAUAAUACAGCAUUCCUUAAUUUUGAAAGCAAUUAUGGGUCUGAGUUCAGGUUUUUUUUUCCCCAGAUUAAAGUCAAUAAAACACUCGGACAUCCGGAUUCCAAUCACAUGCAUAUUACUAACUGUGAUAUUUGUAUCGCUGAUCCAGAAGCCAAUCACAACACUAACUCACUCUAUUGCUAAAAUAAGGAUAGCUUCCUCAUAAGCCAAAAUAACAGCCUGUUAUCCCUUCCAAAGCCACCGUUUUUCUGGCCUCGCAGGAACAAAGGAACAGGAGGUAGGCAAUACUCUUAUGGGGAAAGUAAACUAUCCCUCGCACAAGAAGCUUUUAAACCUAAGCACAUGUACUUGACAUACUCAUUUUCUGAAACUCUAUAUUUUCAUGUAUCCCUCCUCUUAUGACAUACCUCUUACAGUAUGUUGGAAUCAGUCCUGUCUUAUCAUCAUUGCCAUGGUUACCUUAUCAUCAUUACAGUAUAUAUGUGUUGCUAUAAUACUACUGUGGAUGUCAUAUCAAAAUUCCCUAAAGCAAAAUGAUCCCAGAACUUACUCUGUACACAUCUCAGGUUGCUAAGCAUUGAUAGCUUUAUUAUAUGUUUCCCAGCUAAAACAAAGUUAGCUUGUAUGCCUCUGCUGACAUACAGCUCUUUGUCCUUUCUGGUAGAAGGCAAAUUAUUCCAUGUAUCAUCUUCACUGUAAGCUACUUCCUUACAUCAAAUAAAAAUUCCACUCUUGACUGGAUAUCUCAGCAACCUGAUUUUCCUUUACUUAUAUUACUGUAUUACUAAAAUUCACAAGAAUGUUGAUACUGGAGGCAAGGAGCAUGUUAGUCAGUCAAGUUAAGCACUGUGAUAUUGCAGAUACAGAGGUCAUGAUACGAAGAUGUGGCACAGCUCAAAACCCAGGGCAGAGUAUAUACGGGCUUGGGAUAAAGAAAACCCUUUGCUAGGGUUGUGUGGCUGUGGGAUGAUCUUUCAGUGUAGAGUGGAGGAGCACAGAUGUUAACAUCUGGUUUUAAUCCAAAAUCUGUAUUACCCUCCAAUGUGCGCUGGGGACUAUGAAUGCAAAACUCUUAACAUAAGCAGAAUUCCUUAUGUGUAAUAAGGAUUUUGGUAAUGCGUUUGGCUCUAUGUGGAGGAUGCACAAGCCUUGUAUGUCACAGACUAGAUCUUGCCACAUGCUUCCACUCCUCUCUGGAUAGACUCACUCAUAGGAUGGAUUGCCCCUGCUUUUUUCAUGGCACUUUCCCACUGACGAGGUGUCUGGGGAAGCUGGGUACAGAUAUAACUUAAAUAUCUUUUACCUUCGGUGACUGAAUGCUCAUUCUUCUGAAAGACAAAAGCAAAGCCUUGACUGGAGAAGAGAAUGUGUACACACGUAAUUGUGCAUCUGUCUAUGUAACCAUGUUUUAUGUAUGGAAUCGCAAGAAAACAUGUCUAACUCAAAUGAUGAUUGAACUGAUACUCAACUAAGUUCUAACUACCAGAUUUUCCAUCGUGUUCAUCCUUAUAACAGCUCCUUACUACAUUCUCAAGCAGAGGCUUUGAAUAUGAGGCUAAGAGUACAGUGGAGUGAAGAAAGUGAUUCAUUACUGGGAAUAAAAAACCCAGUCUUCAUGGAUGAUACAUUGCCUAUAUACAUGAUUACAGGUUUAGAAACAAGAGGUUACCUACUGUUCCACGGCUGUAAUCAAAUAUUACCAGACUGAAGAAAAGCAAAUACACUCAAGAUUUUCAGGAGAAUUCUCAUGAUUAAGAAGAGUAAAAUCUUAAAUAAACAGAGGUAAAUAACAGAACAUUUGUGAUAGAGGAUAUGAUGGUAAUUGCAGCUGGGAAACUUUUCUUCUUUUCUUCUUAAGCUAAAGAUGACUGGGAAUUUUUUUUGGUAACUACAGGAGCAGUUAACUGGCCAUUUUUUAUGAGGAAAUGGAAACAAGGAUUCAAGGCCAUCGUGAAGACUAUGUAAGUAUCAGGAACAUGGCUGCAGGAAAUCAGAAUGGCAAUGUGCAGCGCCAGCAUCAACAAGAAGCAGGAACUCCUCUGUGAGCCCACAGGAAGACACUGUCUCAAAUAGGCGUUCGUCUCUCCAUCCUUCUCCUCUCACUUACUGGUAGCUACAACUCUGUGACAGCCUGAUGGGAGCCCUUGGGAACUGUUCUUGCUUACUUGUAAAGAAGUAUAAAACUCUGUUCUGAAAUUAAAAAGAAAAUAUUAAGGUUGAAGAAGAACUGGGUGGUGAAUUAAGCUGAGAAAAACGCCUGUAGGAAAUUCACAGUGAAUGCUCCUUUGUCCAGAGUUAGCCUCUCUCAAGCAUGUUCCCUUACACAGUGUAUGCCAACAUAUAGAUUUGUGGAUUGUUUUUUAUUUGUACAGGUGAACAGUGACAAUAAUUCAUGGUUCAGGUUGUCUAGAGGACUGGGAAGUAAUGAUAAUAGACUUAGUUCCUUCAGUAGUGUCCAAAAAGUGAUGGUUAGAGCUGAAUAAUUCAGAAAGUUUUCAGGUAAUCUUAGCUUAGGCCCUGAUCUUCCCAAGGCAAUGCUCAUACUUCAUUUCUGGCUUGCACAGUCACGCUGAACGCAAUGGCAGCAGGGUAACACAUCUGAAGCUAAGCUUAUCAUAAAUCAACUUUCUGUAUCAGGGCCUCUAUCACAGUCUGUUCAGAGAUAUGCCACAGGAAAAGAAAAAGGGUAAAUAAGUUUGCUAUGGCCCCAUUUAAAUUCCUUUUGUGUUCGUUUCCUCUGACAGUUUGGGAAAUAGACCUUCAGUAAUAAAAAAAAAAAGAAAAUACAGAAAAGAAUGAGAAAACAGUGAUAGAGAAGGAUGAGGAAACAGUGUUUAAAGCCACAUGUAAGUUCUUGUGAAAACCAAAUAGUGUGUUUGCAUAUGCUAGCAUUCAGGCUAGGUGUUCCCGCACGAUUCCUGUCAGGAAAAAGAUACCAUGCAUAUGAUUUAUCAGGCAGCCACCGACUAUGUACUGUGGAUAUUUGCUUUCAAUCCACCGAGUUCAAGAUUAGAAAAGGUAUCUGUUGAAUUCAUUUGAAUAGCAAAUAGACUGGGGAAUCACAAUCUGUUCCUAGCUAUUCAAUGGAUGAUAACCGGUAAUUCAUUAAAUAUAUUAGUCUCUCCAUUCUAAUAAUUAUUAGAGCAGAGACAGAAGUUUGAAAACAAUCAUUUCGAGAACAGUGCAGCAUUUCUAUGUGCAAGUGAUAAGUGACAUAUUUCAGCACGUGCGCUCCUUGGCUUCUGGAUCAGCCACAGUCACCUCGUGACAAAUCUCCUUGGCUGCUGCUUGGUGGAUAGCUGACAGUGCACCCCACACAGCACAGGUAUGAGGACUUCUAAGAUCAAAGCAGAAGUUAGCAACGUUAUCCAUGUGGCAUUACAUCUUGACCCCUGCGUGUAUGUACAGUUACGGAAGUUAGUCACCUACAGUGCUUACAAAUUAAUUUCAGCAAACAGUUGAGUUGAUCGGCACUGUGAGCAUAAGGAAGCAGACCUUGGGCAUUUUCAUCUUGCAUGAAACCGUGAAUGAAUGGACUUUGAGGACAACUGGUAGGGGAAAAAAAAAAAAAAGCAAAAGCACUUUUGGGAGAGGAGAGCGCUGAGAUCCAUCAGUAUUCAGUAUUUCUGGGAGGAAGGCUCUAUCUGUAGGGAAUCUGGCCAGGACUAAGGCAGGUUUGUGAUCUCCUUUCCAGGCAGCUUUUCCACAGGGUGCUCAUCCUGUUGGAAUUGCGGCUGGAAGACCACAGCCUUGCAUGGUGACUCAUAAUUUGGAGAACCAAGUAGAAAUUCAGCCUCUCUGAUUCACAGAGGAUUUAGGAAAUGCUUGCUCUUAGCUCAGAAGCCAUUUCAUCAGCUGAAGGCAGAAGCAGGUGGAUGCCCACAGAAACAUCUGGAAAGUCAGCAUUACACGUGGAAAGAAGACAGAGCACUAAGAGAGAUGGCAGACUGCCAUUCGGUUUUCACUCAGUUAAUAUGUUCCCUCCUCCACUUGCUCACUAUGUCUUUCCAGGCUUCAUAAUCUCUGGUGGACAUACCAAGGGGUGGAGCUGGGCUGGCAACCAUCGCCAUGCAUCACUGCUCCUACAAACACAUAGUACUAGUAUGGGCAGACGGCAUCGUUGUGCUGAUCAUCAUCCUCUGAGUCAGCCAUUUGCAAACACCUUCUCCAGGCUGUCAUCUUGCCACUAGGAAUUCAAAAUCUGAGUCAGAACCCAAUUUAAACUGCUAUAAUUAACAGUCCCGAUUUAACCGAAUCUCACAGUUUGUCAUGUUGCAUUCUCUGUGUACAUCUGAAAAUCUCUCUCCAGGGCUCCCAAAGAGCCUCGGUGGUUUCAGGCUCCCACCAAGACCAAGUCCAACAGCCACCAAACAAACCUGUCCUUGCUGGAUUCAUCUCACCAUUAAAUACAGAAAUAUCAAAGAUGAUGGGUUGGAUGUUGACGUGGACUUUUCUAUAAAUACUGCUGAUGAGGGCAAAGCCCGGGUGCCACAUGAAGGAAAGAAGGGUGGAAGUAUCUCACUUGCUCAGAAGCCCCAAAAAACUUAGAAUGGUUGAGACUCCUAUGAAGGAGAUAAUUAUACACUGCACAAGCUAAAAACAAGCACUUUUUUUCUUUAUUGUUUCUAAAUGAUGUUAUUAUGAAUGAAAAUUCACUCUGAGGAAGGUCUCCAGUUACUGUGGAUGCUUAGGAGAGCCCCUGAGUUUACUUUUAGGGAACGCAGUGCUAUUGCAAAUAAGGUGACCUGGGGACUAUCUGAUGGUUUUGCAGCCAUAAGUGACAGCAAGCUGGACUGUGGGUGGAAGUGCAUUUUUGAAAACACUUAUUUUUACGAUUUAAGGAGGAAUUUUUAUGUCCUCUGCUUUUUUUCUUUACUUUCAUCUGACCAUCAGGGAGCACUUCUGUGCUGCACAGGUGGCAGAACAGUGGCACAGGCUGCCCAGAGGCUGCGGAGCCCCCUCUUUGGAGCUCUUCAGAAGAUGCCUGAGCACACUGCUCCAGGCGUCCCUGCUUGGGCAGGGGUUGGGCCAGAUGGACUCUGAGGUCCCUACCACCCCCAGCCUUGAUGGAAUUCUGUGAUUCCUUUCAAUUCUCUGAAUGAUGGAUUUAGUCUUUUGUGUUGUGCUGCUAUUGUUUUUGCAGAGCUAUUUCAAGGCUGCCACUGUGAGCUCCCCUCUCAACCUAAGUGCUGCACUACUGUAGCUGGAGAGCCAUCCACUUAGCGUUCACAUAGGCGAAACAUUUGAGGGACAUAAAGAGAGGGACUCUUUAUCCGGGAGUGUAACAAUAAGACAAGGGAUAACGGCUUUAAACUAAAAGAGGGGAGAUUUAGAUUAGUUGUUUGGAAGAAAUUCUUCACAAUGAGGCUGGUGAGGCACUGGAGCAGACUGCCCAGAGAAGCCAUGAAUGUCCCAUAGCUGAAAUUGCUCAAGGCCAGGUUGGAUGGGACUUUGGGCAACCUGAUCUAGUGGAAGCGGUCCCUACCCACGACAGAGGACUUGGAACAAAAUAGUCUUUCAGGUAUCUUCUAACUCAAGCAAUUCUGUGAUUCUUCAGUUCUACGACUCUAUGAAGAGAUUGCCUCAAUUUCAUAUAGCAGAUGAUCAGACAAGUUGGGAUUAUUGCCAUGGCUUCAAAUCUGCUUGAGAUAGUCUGUGCCCUAAACUACACUUAUUUAGCUGCCUUGAUAUUUCGCUGUCAUUCCUCUUCAUCCUGAGCUUCCCAUGUACACCCACUAGGGAUUUCAUUCUGUGAACACUUCCAGCUGAAACUGUACCAUGGAAUUUUUAAUGAUACUUAGACAUUGCCUCGCUUUCUUUCAG